rnacentral:rRNA from 1 species
UACUCACCGGCAGGCUUAACACAUGCAAGUCGAGGGGUAACGGGGUGCUUGCACCGCCGACGACCGGCGCACGGGUGAGUAACGCGUAUACAAUCUGCCUUGUACUGAGGGAUAGCCCAGAGAAAUUUGGAUUAAUACCUCAUAGUAUAUGGACCUCUCAUGAGGAUCAUAUUAAAGGUUACGGUACAAGAUGAGUAUGCGUUCUAUUAGCUAGAUGGUAAGGUAACGGCUUACCAUGGCUACGAUAGAUAGGGGCCCUGAGAGGGGGAUCCCCCACACUGGUACUGAGACACGGACCAGACUCCUACGGGAGGCAGCAGUGAGGAAUAUUGGACAAUGGGCGAGAGCCUGAUCCAGCCAUGCCGCGUGCAGGAUGACGGCCCUAUGGGUUGUAAACUGCUUUUAUACAGGAAGAAACACCCCGACGUGUCGGGACUUGACGGUACUGUAAGAAUAAGGAUCGGCUAACUCCGUGCCAGCAGCCGCGGUAAUACGGAGGAUCCAAGCGUUAUCCGGAAUCAUUGGGUUUAAAGGGUCCGUAGGUGGACAAUUAAGUCAGAGGUGAAAUCCUGCAGCUCAACUGUAGAAUUGCCUUUGAUACUGGUUGUCUUGAGUUAUUAUGAAGUAGUUAGAAUAUGUAGUGUAGCGGUGAAAUGCAUAGAUAUUACAUAGAAUACCAUUGGCGAAGGCAGAUUACUAUUAAUGAACUGACACUGAUGGACGAAAGCGUGGGGAGCGAACAGGAUUAGAUACCCUGGUAGUUCACGCCGUAACCGAAUGGUACUAGNUGG